rnacentral:rRNA from 1 species
UACGUAGGGGGCAAGCGUUGUCCGGAAUUAUUGGGCGUAAAGAGCGUGUAGGCGGUCCGGUAUGUCGGAUGUGAAAGUCCAGGGCUCAACCCUGGGAUGCCGUCCGAUACUGUCGGACUAGAGUUCGGAAGAGGCGAGUGGAAUUCCCGGUGUAGCGGUGAAAUGCGCAGAUAUCGGGAGGAACACCUAUGGCGAAGGCAGCUCGCUGGGACGUUACUGACGCUGAGACGCGAAAGCGUGGGGAGCAAACAGG